CAAGAAAAGGAAACUGUAAUGUUGUAGAAUUGCUGCUGAAGAAAGGAGUUCGUCAUUCACCUUCAAACAAUGAUGGAAAUACUGCUCUUAUUAUAGCGGCAGAGAGAGGACAUUAUAAAAUUGUACAAUUGCUAUUAAAUAAUAGAGCUGAUCGAAGCACUGCAAAUUAUUCAGGAGAAACUGCUCUAAAUGUAGCAGCAAGAAAAGGAUACAACAACAUUGUGCAAUUAUUAUCUGAAGAACCUGAUCAAAAUAUUACA